rnacentral:lncRNA from 1 species
CCUAUUGUUAACUCCAUCGCUUAUAUGAAUUUUGUUAAUCAUGAUUGAUAUAUAAAGACAUGUCUAAAUUUUUAGCAUUCGAGAAAAAAAAGAAUAAAAUAAAAUGGAUAGAGCACAUUAAAAUAUCAAACACUAUCAUAUAGUGUUACUUUUCAUUCCAAAUGGUGUAUACAUCAUUUCAUUACCAACUCUUUCCUUGAUUACAACCCAUAACACAAUGCUUACAAGUCUUAAAGAACUUGUUGAUAACAAGCUAUAGAAAUAUUUGUGUCAUUACCAAUUUAUUUAGCUUAGGCAGCAAUUUUCUCAAAGCAAUCAUUACCAACCCCAUGUAUCCUUAAAUUUUAGUGGUCUUCUUAUAGGAUGUGGACGAGGAAAAGGAUGAGGACGAGGACGAUUUAGAUGGAGAAUGAGGAGGUGCUUGGAAUUUAGGGAUAUUGUACCCUUUAGGUGGGAGGGGUUUCUUAUAGGACGAGGGCGAGGACGGUUUAGAUGGAGAAAGGGGAGGUGCUUGGGAUUUAGGGACAUUGUAUCCCUUAGGUGGGAGGGUUUUCCUAUAAGACAAGGGUGAGGAUGAGGAUGAGAACGAGGACGAAAAUGAGGACGAUUUAGAUGCUUGGAAUUUAGGGAUAAAGAAUGUUGCGUUAGAUGGGAGGGUUGUAAGGAAUAGAGAAAUGGCAAGGGCUAGAAAAAUUUUGUUAUAAAAUGCCAUUGUCUUUCGUUUUAAUUUAAUAAUAGAAAGAAAGUUAAAAAGAAAGACAAUGGAAACAAGGAAUGAUGUG